rnacentral:rRNA from 1 species
UACGGGAGGCAGCAGUGGGGAAUAUUGCACAAUGGGCGAAAGCCUGAUGCAGCUAUGCCGCGUGUAUGAAGAAGGCCUUAGGGUUGUAAAGUACUUUCAUCGGGGAGGAAAAACAAAACUAAUAAUUUUAUUUCUUGACGUUACCCGAAAAAGAAGCACCGGCUAACUCCGUGCCAGCAGCCGCGGUAAUACGGAGGGUGCUAGCGUUAAUCAGAAUUACUGGGCGUAAAGAGCACGUAGGUGGUUUUUUUAAGUCAGAUGUGAAAUCCCUGGGCUUAACCUGGAACUGCAUUUUGAAACUGAAAUACUAGAGUAUCGUAGAGGGAGGUAGAAUUCUAGGUGUAGCGGUCGAAAUGCGUAGAUAUCUGGAGGAAUACCUGUGGCGAAAGCGGCCUCCUAAACGAAUACUGACACUGAGGUGCGAAAGCGUGGGGAGCAAACAGGGAUUAGAUACC